AGUAACAGUUAGAAAUGACUGCUAAUACCGCAUAAGCGCACAGUGCUGCAUGGCACAGUGUGAAAAACUACCGGUGGUAUGAGAUGGACCCGCGUCUGAUUAGCUAGUUGGUGGGGUAACGGCCUACCAAGGCGACGAUCAGUAGCCGGCCCGAGAGGGUGAACGGCCACAUUGGGACUGAGACACGGCCCAAACUCCUACGGGAGGCAGCAUG
rnacentral:rRNA from 1 species